rnacentral:ncRNA from 11 species
GUACGCCGGGGAUAAGUACGACGUGUAAUGUAUAAAUAAUAGGGUAAGAAUCCCUCACACAUGGUUUGCAAGUGUGAAGUGAAAGCCGGGAGCGUUCGGAGUAAUCCGUAGGUUUUAAGUCGGUUGUAGCUUGAUGGUUCCUAAGAUGAGUGAGAGCGAAUAGAUGGUUGAAGCUUCGUAAGGCGUGACCAUAUUUUUAUGGUACUGCAGUUAGGGGUGGGAAGUUUUGUCCCCGUCCACCCGCAAAUCCAAAUAACUGCCGGAGUAGAGUCUGCAUCUAAGGGAACACGAGAAAGUAUUUAUAAGUUAAGCACGGUAAGCCCCAUGUGCACCUGUUUUCGUUUGGUAAACAGGAGGCUAAAGAGUAAUCCAAGGUAUCGCGCAGGGGGUAAAAGACAGCAUAAAAAGCUAAAGCUCACUCUGUAAUGGAGAGGGAUAGGGUCUUAUGGCCGAUCUGAAAGGAUGCUGACUUAUGCAUGGGUGACGGAAUGCUAAUAAUUAAACCUGGUUUUAUAUUAUAUCUAGGUUAUGUUUGGUACUCACUAGAUUAAGUGUAUGACUAAGUAAGGGAUUAAACAUAUCAAUCGCAGUGUGUGUGUAGUAGGUAGGUUAAUACAUACUACUUGUUUAGGGUACCAGUGGUUGGACUGGUCGUAAAGCUUUUAUUACACAUUAUCAGUAUCUUCGGGUCUAGGUAGACGCAUUUGUAUUAAGUCUUCAAGGGGAUAAAUCGGUUCAGGGCGUUAUCAGUAUCUUCAGGGGUACAAUAUAGAUCUCCUCGGACAACAUGAUGAGGAUCUUACGUUGAUAUAAACUGGCUAAGAGCCCGAAAAGAGCUACUUGUCCAUCAAGAAGAAUUAGUAGAGGCAUAUCGUUCGAAAAACAAUGAGGCUGUUGUUAAAAUGCAAUCGCUUAUAACAUACAGCUUUGCAGCAAGGUGUUUGUUUGUUGGUGGUACAUGGAGUUAUAAAAAUUUGUGUUUGCUGCAUGAAACCUACAACAAACAGGUAACUAAAAAUAAAUUGUUAAACAAAAAGAUUGCCCAUCGGCGAAGUCUUGGGAAGGACUGGAUAACACCUGUACCAACCCAAGAUAAGCACGAUGAUAAGUUGCUUGAGCCGUGUGCGUUGAAAGAUGCAUGCACGGUUCUUAGGGGGGGAAAGCCGGUAACCGUACCUAUCCCAAUCAGGCU